UACGUAGGGGGCGAACGUUGUUCGGAAUCACUGGGCUUAAAGAGCGUGUAGGCGGCUCGGUAAGUCCGCUGUGAAAGUCCAGGGCUCAACCCUGGAAAGCCGGUGGAAACUGUCGAGCUAGAGUCCGGAAGAGGCGAGUGGAAUUCCUGGUGUAGCGGUGAAAUGCGCAGAUAUCAGGAGGAACACCAAUUGCGAAGGCAGCUCGCUGGGAC
rnacentral:rRNA from 1 species